UGAAGAAUUUGUCCAACGGCGGGGGAUAGCCGGCCCAACGGCCGGGUAAUACCGCGUACGACCCUCGGGGGGCAUCCCUUGAAGGUGAAAGCCGCAAGGUGCCGAUGGAGAACUUCGCGGCCUAUCAGCUAGUUGGUGAGGUCAUGGCUCACCAAGGCGACGACGGGUAGCUGGUCCGAGAGGAUGACCAGCCACAUUGGGACUGAGACACGGCCCAGACUCCUACGGGAGGCAG
rnacentral:rRNA from 1 species